CAGAUGUGGAGGGAUCUGCAACUAAACUAACUGGAGGAAAGGAACCUUUAGUGUGGGUGAACAUACUACCUUGAUGUCCAACAAAGACUGCACAAAAGCUCAUUUGAUGGCACAUAUUCUGUCCUGUCUACAUCUCUGACGAAGUGCUUCGACAUCAGAUCAUCAGAAGUGCUCCUGCCCUUUUUCACUGUCCCUUUUCCACAACAUCAUUUGGCCUUUAUCAUUUCGUGUCUUGUAGCAAUAUUUUCAUCUGUUUUUAAAAUUGUAAUACUUUUUGAUGCAUUAAUUGUUGACUGGUUUUACUGAUCAAUUUUUCAUUAGUGUUCUGUUGCUGUGUUAUAUUGAAUAAUUGCUACUGUUUCA